CGCUGGAUCUGUUUCUCUGUCCGAGUGUGACCCCGCCUCACGUCCCAGUGUCUGCAUCAGAACGGCCUGCUGACCUACUCCAGCGGAGACACCUGGAUCGACAACUGCCAGCGCUGCCAGUGUCUGCAAGGUGAGGUGGACUGCUGGCCUCUGUCCUGCCCGCCGGUGGACUGUGACUUCACACUGGUGCCCGAGGGCGAGUGCUGCCCACGCUGUGUCUCGGACCCGUGCCAGGCUCACGCUGUCCGCAACGACAUCACCAAGACCUGCGAGGACGAGCACGGCAUCACCCGCUUCAGCGGCUCGUCCUGGGUCAAACACGGCACCGACUGCACACUGUGCCAGUGCAAGAACGGACACAUCUGUUGCUCAGUGGAUCCCAUGUGUCUUUAGUCUCCUCGCUCGACACUAACAGCACCUGUACAGUCUCACGCGACCGCCCCUUCACAACCUCCCCCAAAUAAUGCCAAAUAUGAAUGGUGUAUAAUAUCAGACAGACGCCAGUGAACCUGAGGAGGCCAUUUCUGCACAAACGAGGACUAUUAACCCAUCGAAACACGACCACGCACACGCCGGCAUGACCACACUGGAUGUGUAAAGAAUAAAACAUUCGCUCAUUUUUAUCUCUUCAAACCAUCACAGGAUGUAGAAAUUUUAGCUAGUAAGUAAAUCUGAUUGUAUUUCUCUUUUGCCUGGUUAUGGAAGUCGAUGCUAUUUGUUGGUGUUUUCACCGCACUUUUUUCGAUUAGCUUUUUGUGUCUGUUUUUCUGUCUAGAUUUUAAAUUAUUAUAUGGCUUGUUCUUGUCUGAUGGUGAAUAAAAUAUCUCCAUUUCCAUUUA